CUAUACCCUGAACAUGUUUCAGUAAUACUUCUGUGACUAUAAUUCUGUGUCUCGUUCUCCUUUCAAGACUGAAAGAUAGGAUAUAAAGUUUUAUACUACAGCUGGAGUAGUUUCCACUUCAUCUCGUUCUUCCUUCUGAAACCAACUCCAAAUAUCACCUGCUGAUAAUUUUCAUGGAGCAAACUACCCAAAUUCGGCAGAUUCCCAGUAAUGCAUUCUGUAGAGGUCACCACCAGGGGUACAGAGCAGG